AUUGAACGCUGGCGGCAUGCCUUACGCAUGCAAGUCGAACGGCAGCGGACCUUCGGGUGCCGGCGAGUGGCGAACGGGUGAGUAAUGCAUCGGAACGUACCUUUCAGUGGGGGAUAACGUAGCGAAAGUUACGCUAAUACCGCAUAUUCUGUGAGCAGGAAAGCAGGGGAUCGCAAGACCUUGCGCUGAUUGAGCGGCCGAUGUCAGAUUAGCUAGUUGGUGAGGUAAAGGCUCACUAAGGCGACGAUCUGUAGCGGGUCUGAGAGGAUGAUCCGCCACACUGGGACUGGGGCACGGCCCAGACUCCUACGGGAGGCAGCAGUGGGGAAUUUUGGACAAUGGGGGCAACCCUGAUCCAGCCAUGCCGCGUGAGUGAAGAAGGCCUUCGGGUUGUAAAGCUCUUUCGGCCGGGAAGAAAUCGCACAGGCUAAUACCUUGUGUGGAUGACGGUACCGGGAUAAGAAGCACCGGCUAACUACGUGCCAGCAGCCGCCGUAAUAC
rnacentral:rRNA from 1 species